GACAGAGGGUGCAAACGUUGUUCGGAAUUACUGGGCGUAAAGCGUGCGCAGGCGGUCUUUUUAAGUCAGAUGUGAAAUCCCCGGGCUUAACCUGGGAACUGCGUUUGAAACUGGAAGGCUAGAGUGUGGCAGAGGGGGGUGGAAUUCCGACGUGUAGCAGUGGAAAUGCGUAGAGAUGUGGAGGAACACCGAUGGCGAAGGCAGCCCCCUGGGCUAACACUGACGCUCAUGCACGAAAGCGUGGGGAGCAAACAGG
rnacentral:rRNA from 1 species